AUUGAACGCUGGCGGCAUGCCUUACACAUGCAAGUCGAACGGUAGCAGGGCUUCGGCUGCUGGCGUGUGGGGAACAGGGGUGUAAUACGUCGAAACAUGCCCGAUCGUGGGGGGUAACGCGGCGGAAGCUUUGCUCAUAUCGCAUACGCGCUCCGAGGGAGAGCGGGGGGUCUCCUCGCCUCUCACGCUCUCAGCUGAGGCUAGGACGGAUUAGCUAGUUGGUGGGGUAAGGGCAUACCAAGGCGACGAUCCGUAGCUGGUCUGAGAGGAUGAUCAGCCACACUGGAACUGAGACACGGUCCAGACUCCUACGGGAGGCAGCAGUGGGGAAUUUUGGACAAUGGGCGAAAGCCUGAUCCAGCCAUGCCGCGUGUAGGAUGAAGGUCUUCGGGUUGUAAACUGCUUUUGUACGGAACGAAAAGCCGCUUGCUAAUAAAGAGCUGUCAUGACGGUACCGAAAGAAUAAGCACCGGCUAACUUCGUG
rnacentral:rRNA from 1 species